rnacentral:rRNA from 1 species
GAUGAACGCUGGCGGCGUGCCUAAUACAUGCAAGUCGAGCGAACAGACGAGGAGCUUGCUCCUCUGACGUUAGCGGCGGACGAGUGAGUAACACGUGGAUAACCUACCUAUAAGACUGGGAUAACUUCGGGAAACCGGAGCUAAUACCGGAUAAUAUAUUGAACCGCAUGGUUCAAUAGUGAAAGACGGUUUUGCUGUCACUUAUAGAUGGAUCCGCGCCGCAUUAGCUAGUUGGUAAGGUAACGGCUUACCAAGGCAACGAUGCGUAGCCGGCCUGAGAGGGUGAUCGGCCACACUGGAACUGAGACACGGUCCAGACUCCUACGGGAGGCAGCAGUAGGGAAUCUUCCGCAAUGGGCGAAAGCCUGACGGAGCAACGCCGCGUGAGUGAUGAAGGUCUUCGGAUCGUAAAACUCUGUUAUUAGGGAAGAACAAAUGUGUAAGUAACUAUGCACGUCUUGACGGUACCUAAUCAGAAAGCCACGGCUAACUACGUG